GUCUACAAGAGCACCAACUACCUCCUAGUAGCUUUCCGAGCGCUAAACCCGCCCGCAAAAUGUGAAGCGUAACAAGGACCACCGUAAAGGUUUGGUGUGUUAUAGCAAAUCCGAGCAAAGGUUGGGGUGUAUUUUAGACAUUUUCCCCUUAAAAAUUUUUUUUUUGAAAUAUUUCAAAUAAAGUAAUAACUUAACUCUAUUUUUUUAUUAUUUAUUUUCAAAUGAAAUUCAUAUCUAAAUGCAUAACCCCAAGUGAAUAAGAAAAGUCGGAACCCUUAAUUUUAGUUCUUUUUGGAUCAAAGUUGGGAGUAAAUUAGAUUUUCACAAAGUUUGUAACAUCUUUAGAAAAAACCUAGAGCCUUGAAUAUAACGAUGCUUUGUGGCCCCUCUAAGUCAUUCUAAACUGAACUCGCCUUAUUGCGGCUAAGAUGAAUGGCAUCGACAACAACAAAGAGAACGCUGAUGACGACGACGACGAUGAUGAUGAUGGAAUUCAAUUCCAUGUUAAUGACCCUAGUGAACUAGGGAAAGAUGAUCCAAGCAUAAGGUCGAUGACGCGAUUCUAGAGAUGGACUCAAUCUGAAAAGAAUCGGAACAAGGAGAUGCAAUGAAGCACCAGAGAAGUACAUAUUCAAGGACCACUUCGCCAACUGAAAACUUGGGUUACAUAAAUGCAGCAAAAAAAGAACUAGAUCUAGAAGGCCACUUGAAAACUAGGGUUUCAAAGAAAAGACGUUGGAAACCUAAUUUUUUGAAUAAACCAAAGGAAGGAUAUGAUCAUGCUUGGUUAAGUGGAGAAAGGAGAUCAAAAGGUUGUAUUCUCUUAAAGGGUUGCGAGAAAGAUACUAAACAAGGAGCUAUAACCAAGAAGGAAGUCUCACAACCUACAUUGGUUGCUUCAGAAGAAUUUGUUGUCUUGGAGGCAUUAGAAGAGAAACAUGAAAAAGAUGACAAGAAAAAUGUAGUUGCCAGAUAUCGUGAUAAAAGACGACGGUCAUCAUUUGAGGAAUCAUGAGCUGAGGCAUUGGGCUCUGUCUUCUCAAUCACCGAAAAAAGCAACUUUGCCAAAACCUCUGGAAAACAAUGUAAAAGGAAGAAUUCGCCAUCACAAAAAGAGACAUACGUUUCUGACUCAAACACCAAAGAAAGCAACUUUCCCAAAACCUCUGAAGAACCACAUAAAAGGAAGAGCUUGCCAUCACACGAAGAGGCAUUGGGUUCAGUUUCAAUCACCAAGAAAAGCUAACUUCCCCAAAACCUCUAAAAACAAUGUAAAAGGAAGAACUCCCUAUCACAAGAAGAGUAUGAUAGAGCAACUUUACUUUGUAACUGACUUCAUCGAGGGCGGCAGGCGAUCCAUCGGUGAGCAUAUGGGCAGGACAAUGUGAAAAAUGCUUCAAAUGGAGGAUGAACUCAACACAGUAAGAGUUUGAGGGAACCAAAAGUAGAUUUAUUGAAGAACUCUUUUACUACAGAGAAAAAAAAACUCAAUGCUUUUUGCGAAGACCCGGUUCAUAUUGAGUAUGAUUCUUCUCAAACUUGAGCCAUUGACAAACUCAAUCAGCCUAAAACCGCUACUGAAUUUAAGAGAGAAUUGUACUGGAGGAAAGAUUACGCUAAAAUGGAUGCUUAUUAUAUCACUCCUUCAGGAAAAAGACUAAGAUCUAUUAUAGAAGUGAGUACUUUUCUUCAACAAAAUUUUGAGUAUAGUGAUCUAUCAGUCUCAAAUUCAGCUUUAAGAGCCCCAAAAUUAUGGAUGAUACUAUACCCUCUAGUAGCACUAAAUGAGUGCGUGGAUGGAGCUGAAAUCUUAGGUUUGUUUGCUCCGCAGAUGCAAUUUUUAGAGUCGUGAUAUGCUUAAAUGUUCAACUUAUUCGUCAUGUGUUGUUAUUUUCUAUCUCUUUGGUAUAAAAUCUCUUAUAUAAGCAAAAAUCAUCUUUUGUUGGUAAGGGGGAAAGAAUUUAAAAAAUUUAUGUCAAAUCCAAUUAUUAGUACAAAUACCCUUUUAUUAUUCGUACCAUUUUCAUUUCGUAAUGUAUAAUUUGUUAAAAUGAAAUCUGGUCUUUUGUUUGUUUUGUCAUGGACCUCUCAGAGACAAUUUAAUCAAGAGGGCCAAUUACUUACGUUAUAUUUUAAUCCGGGGGAUACAAUAAUAUCUAUUUUUUGCAUGUUAUUUUUUUUUGUUGACGUAGUAGUAUUUAUCUCUUGUUCUAUUUUGUUUUAU